rnacentral:rRNA from 1 species
AAAACUUUUAACAACGGAUCUCUUGGUUCUGGCAUCGAUGAAGAACGCAGCGAAAUGCGAUAAGUAAUGUGAACUGCAGAAUUCAGUGAAUCAUCGAAUCUUUGAACGCACAUUGCGCCCCCUGGUAUUCCGGGGGGCAUGCCUGUUCGAGCGUCAUUU